UAACACAUUGGUCUGGGAUGAAGC
rnacentral:piRNA from 1 species